rnacentral:lncRNA from 10 species
AUGACACCCAAGCUUGCACCACAGCCCAGGUCCUGGAGGCAAGGACAUGACAAGCUCAGUCCUGAGUCCUUCCCUAAAAUCCCAAGAAUCCUAUGAUCCCCAUCCCCUCUACCUGCUGAAUGGAGUAGAACUUGAUGCCUGUGCUGCGGUCCCAGAUGCUGAUGAGGUCAUCCAGGCCACUGCUGAUGACACAGGAGGUGGUACAGGCCGCUUACCUGGUCAAUGUACACGGUCGUGAUGGCCCCUGAGUGGCCCUGAAGGGUGAAGAGGCAGCACGAGUCCUCCAGACGGAACACCUGGGACAGGGAUGGGCCUCAGGUUCUGGUCUCUGGGAUUUUCCAAGUUAUACUUUGGCUGGGAAAUGCCCUCUGUUCUUCAUCAGGACUCUUCCAGCCUCUCCCUGACGAAUGCAUCAGGCUCCCACCCCGUGCCGGGCCACUCCAGCACCCAAGAGACAAGACAAUACUCACUCUCAGUGUGUGGUCUUGGCUCCCAGUCACCAAGCGCCCAGCAGCGGCUUUCAGGGCUGUGAUGGGUUUUUGGUGUGCACAGGGCACUGUGUGGGUCAGGUGACAGGCCACUGUGUCGCUGCUGCUGUACACUGGAGAGGCAGGGGAACUGCCCCGCCCUGGGGUCCCUGAGGACAAAAGGCCAAGUGAAGAAUCUCUGAGAAAGCAAUGGGUAGACGGCCCCUGCCCGUCCCACCAAGUGUGAACACCUGCCCACCCCAGGCCCUCCGACCUCUAAACUGCAGGGGGCUGAGGGCAGUGUGGGUCUCCAAGGAGAAGAAAUCAAGGGAACCGUUGAGCCGUGCAGCCACAAUCCUGGAAGAGAAGAACAGCUGCCAGGGGCCUCUCCCUUAGAGCCCCAGCCCUGGGGCUGAGCAUGUGGACAUGAGAGUUAAGGGCCAGUUCAAGAAGGCACAGGAGGGACAUGGCCAAGAGGAAAGCACAUGGUGCCAGAACAGAUGCUGGAGCCAGAGGGCAACUCCAAAUAUUAACCACCUUGUGCCUCAGUUUCUUCAUCCGUAAAAUGGGGAUAAGAGUACCCACCUCACAGGGUGGUCAUGAGAAUCAAGUGAGCUAACGUGUAAGGUGGUACCUGGUGAAUAUCACGUAAGUUUGUAAAUUAAAAACAAGCAGAGGGCUCCAUGUAGCCUGGAGCUGAAGGGAGGGCUGCUGAGGGGAAACAGGAUGCAGGGUGGGCUAUGUUGGGUGUUGCGGAAGCCUGCAUUCUCCACAUAAAAGCAGCUUCAACCCAA